UUUAUGGAGAGUUUGAUCCUGGCUCAGGAUGAACGCUGGCGGCGUGCCUAAUACAUGCAAGUCGAGCGAACGGACGAGAAGCUUGCUUCUCUGAUGUUAGCGGCGGACGGGUGAGUAACACGUGGAUAACCUACCUAUAAGACUGGGAUAACUUCGGGAAACCGGAGCUAAUACCGGAUAAUAUUUUGAACCGCAUGGUUCAAAAGUGAAAGACGGUCUUGCUGUCACUUAUAGAUGGAUCCGCGCUGCAUUAGCUAGUUGGUAAGGUAACGGCUUACCAAGGCAACGAUGCAUAGCCGACCUGAGAGGGUGAUCGGCCACACUGGAACUGAGACACGGUCCAGACUCCUACGGGAGGCAGCAGUAGGGAAUCUUCCGCAAUGGGCGAAAGCCUGACGGAGCAACGCCGCGUGAGUGAUGAAGGUCUUCGGAUCGUAAAACUCUGUUAUUAGGGAAGAACAUAUGUGUAAGUAACUGUGCACAUCUUGACGGUACCUAAUCAGAAAGCCACGGCUAACUACGUGCCAGCAGCCGCGGUAAUACGUAGGUGGCAAGCGUUAUCCGGAAUUAUUGGGCGUAAAGCGCGCGUAGGCGGUUUUUUAAGUCUGAUGUGAAAGCCCACGGCUCAACCGUGGAGGGUCAUUGGAAACUGGAAAACUUGAGUGCAGAAGAGGAAAGUGGAAUUCCAUGUGUAGCGGUGAAAUGCGCAGAGAUAUGGAGGAACACCAGUGGCGAAGGCGACUUUCUGGUCUGUAACUGACGCUGAUGUGCGAAAGCGUGGGGAUCAAACAGGAUUAGAUACCCUGGUAGUCCACGCCGUAAACGAUGAGUGCUAAGUGUUAGGGGUUUCCGCCCCUUAGUGCUGCAGCUAACGCAUUAAGCACUCCGCCUGGGGAGUACGACCGCAAGGUUGAAACUCAAAGGAAUUGACGGGGACCCGCACAAGCGGUGGAGCAUGUGGUUUAAUUCGAAGCAACGCGAAGAACCUUACCAAAUCUUGACAUCCUUUGACAACUCUAGAGAUAGAGCUUUCCCCUUCGGGGGACAAAGUGACAGGUGGUGCAUGGUUGUCGUCAGCUCGUGUCGUGAGAUGUUGGGUUAAGUCCCGCAACGAGCGCAACCCUUAAGCUUAGUUGCCAUCAUUAAGUUGGGCACUCUAAGUUGACUGCCGGUGACAAACCGGAGGAAGGUGGGGAUGACGUCAAAUCAUCAUGCCCCUUAUGAUUUGGGCUACACACGUGCUACAAUGGACAAUACAAAGGGCAGCGAAACCGUGAGGUCAAGCAAAUCCCAUAAAGUUGUUCUCAGUUCGGAUUGUAGUCUGCAACUCGACUACAUGAAGCUGGAAUCGCUAGUAAUCGUAGAUCAGCAUGCUACGGUGAAUACGUUCCCGGGUCUUGUACACACCGCCCGUCACACCACGAGAGUUUGUAACACCCGAAGCCGGUGGAGUAACCUUUUAGGAGCUAGCCGUCGAAGGUGGGACAAAUGAUUGGGGUGAAGUCGUAACAAGGUAGCCGUAUCGGAAGGUGCGGCUGGAUCACCUCCUUU
rnacentral:rRNA from 2 species